rnacentral:rRNA from 1 species
AACGAACGCUGGCGGCAUGCCUAACACAUGCAAGUCGAACGAGACCUUCGGGUCUAGUUGCGCACGGGGGCGUAACGCGUGGGAACCUGCCCUUAGGUUCGGAAUAACUCCCCGAAAGGGGUGCUAAUACCGGAUAAUGUCUUCCGGCCAAAGAGUUAUCGCCUUUGGGUGGGCCCGCGUUGGAUUAGCUAGUUGGUAGGGUAAAAGCAUACCAAGGCGACGAUCCAUAGCUGGUCUGAGAGGAUGAUCAGCCACACUGGGACUGAGACACGGCCCAGACUCCUACGGGAGGCAGCAGUGGGGAAUAUUGGACAAUGGGCGAAAGCCUGAUCCAGCAAUGCCGCGUGAGUGAUGAAGGCCUUAGGGUUGUAAAGCUGUUUUACACGGGAUGAUAAUGACAGUACCGGGAGAAUAAGCUCCGGCUAACUCCGUG